AUCAACAAAAGAUAUAAAUAUAUGCUUGACUAGAAAUGAUGAACAUAAUGUAUGAGUGAAUAAUUAUGAAGACCAUACAUGUAUAAGCUUUCCCUGAUUUUGUUGCUGCGGAGCUGCUGCAAGUAACCUUCUCAAAUUCACUUCAGUUUUGCUCAAGCCCAUCACAGAAUCCAAAGCACGUAUAGUUAAAAGACCAACUGAGAUAAACAGCAGGAUAAUAGCUGAUUAUUAAAAGGUAAAUUACUAAAAUCAAUCAGUCUGUACUGAAUUAUUAUGGUAGAUGAACAUCCAUCACAGACUUGGAGGAUUAGUCAUCUAUCUAUCUAUACUAAUAUUAAAGCAAAGAUUUCUAGGGGAAUGUGUUUCCCGCCAAUGCUACUACUUUCUUUUUAUCCACUGAAUAACAUGAAGAAUUUUAUCUGCUGGAUAAUAGGUUGCAGUGCAGUUUUGGCUCCAAUUUAUGGAGCCCAAAUUUGAUUUUUGAAUCUGUUAACUCAAUUUUUACCAUCUAUAAAUAGUAGAUAUUUAGCUGCUAAAUUUUCAUUUCCUCUUCUUUUAGAUUUGUAUUAUUAUUCUAUCAAAUUUUUUCGAAAAAUCUUCUGUUAUUUUUGUUGAAGAAAGCUUUGUUCUUUUAAAAAAAUAUACUUUCAAAAGUCAAUUUUUAGAUUGUUGAAGUCUAAACUUUCUCUGCAGAUGAGAUUUGAAUCUGUUAAUGGAGGGCGAAUCUCAGAUCUACAGCAACAAAAAAGAGCAUGAAUGAAUCUCUCAAAUGUAUAUUCAUGAUUUAUAGGAAACAUAGAUUGUAGAUGUAUUUUUGUAAUAAGUUGGCAUCAAAGAUUUUGUAUUUUUGUAUUUUUGCAGUAUUUAUCAACUGAUUCUGUAUUUUUGUUGUUUUUGUAUUUAACUGAUUCUGUAAAUCAUUUGCACAACAAAAUAGUGCAAAUGGGAAAGAACAUAACUUAGAAACCUAAAAUUUCUUGAAAUAAAAGCAACAAAAAAAAUGCAGAAAAUAGAAACAAAAUAUGCAAUUAGUACGAGAAUUUCGAAAAGAGAACUCCUCCACACACCUUUUUUUCUUCUUUUCUUCGACAGCAGGGGCAGUUGCAGCGGCACCUGUAGCACCGCCAGUAGGAGCGCAACUGCAACGAGAGCAGCAACUACAACGACCUGUGAUUUUGAAGGUGCGAGGGGCGGCGAGAUGGUAGUCACAGCAGCGACAGUCAAUUAGGGAGUGAAGGGAGUUGGGUGUUAAGGAUUCAAGUUUAGGUUUUUUAAAUUAGCAUUGUAAUUGAAUAAAAUUGAGAUAGCAAACCUCGGGUAGCAAAACGAGAGGUAGCAAGGCCGAAAAUUACAGAUGGAAGGCGUGGAGAUGGUGACUGCGGCGGCGGCGUAGCGACGGAGGCGGCGCUGCAUGUGCAGCCUCGCCGUGCGCGCUGAGUGAUAGAAGGGGGUAGACAGGGAGCGAGAGGUGAGACGGAGGAGAUGCCUGUGGCGUAGGUGGUCGAAGACGGCGCCCUUCGCCGGAGGAGGAAGCGGUAGGGGAUGUGUGUGCGUAUCUGUGAGAUUGAGAGAGAGUGAGAGUA
rnacentral:lncRNA from 1 species